AAGGGUCGCCAUUUUUGAAGGAAAAUGGGAUAUCAAUCAUUGCAUAACCAAAGUUCCUUGAACUUCUCAAAGGGAGAGCGGAAAAACAAAGAGCGAAGGCUCCACACGCAAUUUUACACAAGAAAGGCUAGCCAAGCUUUUUUGUGAAGGUUCCAUCUCUUUUCUCAACAACUUCUCCGAAGUUCUCUAAACUGUAAGGAUUGAUCUUCAAAUACUUUCGCUGGUUGCUUUGCCAACUUCCUUAGCGUUGGAGUUGUCUGCUGUAGCUAUUCUCGAGUUCUUGAUUCAAUCAUCUCCUCCUCUACUGCUGUUACUCCCCUUUUCUCUUCUUUCAAUUCUUGAAAAGAAAGAGAGAGAAACCAAGAUGGCAGAAGCAGUUCCAUUUGGUAUAGCUACCAACAUACUAACGAAGUUGGGUUCCUCCACCUUCAAAGAAAUCGGAGCCACAUAUGGUGUGAAAAAGGACUUGCAGAAGCUUGAAAACACACUCUCCACCAUCAAAGCUGCGCUGCUAGACGCUGAACAAAGGCAGGAGAAGAGCUAUUUGGUGCAAGACUGGAUAAGGAAGCUUAAAGAUGUUGUUUAUGUAGCUGAUGAUGUGUUGGAUAGGUUUGCAACAAAAGCUUUGAAGCAUCAAAGCACUGGUUUAAAGAUCAAAGAAGGGGUGAGUGAAUUCUUUUCCAUGUCGAAUCAACUUGCAUUUCGUUUCAAGAUGGCUCGAAAGAUAAGAUAUAUUAGGGAGAGAGUAGAUGAUAUUGCAGCUGAUAUGUCAAAGUUCAAUUUCAAAGAGAGAGUGGUUGAGCGAGAGGAAAAUAGGCAGAGAGAGCAGACUCAUUCCUUUCUAUCAAACUCAGAAAUUAUUGGGAGGGAUAGGAAUAAGGAGGAGAUUCUUAACUUGUUGAUGUGUUCAAACAAUCAGGAAAAUGUUUCUAUUGUUCCAAUUGUUGGGAUUGGUGGGUUAGGCAAGACAACUCUUGCUCAGUUGGUGUAUAAUGAUACUCGGGUAAUCAAUUCUUUUGAAAAAAGGAUAUGGGUUUCCGUCUAUAAAAAAAUUGAUGCUGGAAUGGUUGUUGCUAGUAUUAUUAAAUCUGUAAAGAAAAUUGAUCCGGGAAACUUGGAGCUGGACCAAUUGCAAUUGUGCCUCAGGGAAAACUUGGAGGGGAAGAGAUAUUUACUUGUCUUGGAUGAUGUAUGGGAUGAAAGCCAUGAGAGAUGGGUUUGUCUGAAGAAUCUGUUAUCGAUUGGAGCUCGAGGAAGCAAGAUUCUAGUGACUACUCGCAGUAGAAAAGUUGCCUUUGUCUCAGGCAUCAACUGCCCUUACAUUUUAGAAGGUCUAGCAGAAGAUGAGUGCUGGGCAUUGUUUGAGCGCCUCACGUUUGGAGAGGACAAGGAGGGAGUGAAUUCAAGCCUGAUCACAAUUGGAAGGGAAAUUGUGAGGAGAUGCAAAGGAGUUCCUCUUGCUGUGAAGAGUUUGGCAUGUGCAAUGCGAACAAAAACAGAAGUGAGUGAAUGGUUGGCCAUUCAGAAUGCUGAAAUUUGGAGGUCUUCUUUAGAUGAUAAUGAAAUUCUACCAGUGCUGAAGUUGAGCUAUGAUCAUUUGCCAAUCCCUUUAAGACAGUGCUUUGCUUUUUGCUCAAUUUUCCCAAAAGACUUCAUGAUCCAGAAAGAUAUAUUGAUCCAGUUGUGGACAGCACAGGGUUAUAUUCACUGCACCAGUGGAAAUGAGUAUCUGGAGUAUCUUGGUGAUCAAUACUUUAAGGAUUUAGUGACAUUGUCUUUCUUUCAAGAAGUAGAAAUGGAUGACCUUGGAAACGUUAAAAGCUUUAAGAUGCAUGAUCUUAUUCAUGAUCUUGCACAGGUAGUUGCAGGAACAGAUUGUGUUAUUGCAGGAACUGAUAGUGGGAAUAUUUCUGAACGAGUGCAUCAUAUCUCCUUUCGACAUCCCUCUUGUUCUCCAGAUGUUCCAAAGCAUUUAUUUGAAGCAAAGAGCACAAGGACUUUCUUUUUGCCAGAUUACUGUGGAUUCACCAAUGAAUCAGCAUCACAUGCUCUGAUUUCAAAGUUUAAAUGCCUACGUGCGUUGGACUUGCAUCACUCGUGUAUUAAGGAGUUGACUUACAAUAUUGGUAAGUUGAAGCAUUUGAGAUAUCUUGAUCUUUCUAAUAAUUUGGACAUGGAAAACCUUCCUUGUUCAAUAUGCUAUCUGCAUAAUUUGCAAACGUUGUUGCUCUCAAACUGUACAAGUCUUCAACAGCUGCCGAGGGAUCUUGGAAAGCUGAUAAGCCUUAGACAUCUUAUGAUUGAUGGGUGUGCUAGGCUGACUCACAUGCCGUCUGGGUUGGAAAAGUUGACGUCCAUUCAAACAUUACCAAGGUUCAUUGUUGCAGAGAACAAAGAUUGCUCCCCAGAUAGUUCAAAGAUCAAUGAGUUGGAUGGCCUAAACCAAUUGAGAGGUGAGUUACAUAUUGAAAAGCUUGGAAAUGUUAGGAAUGUUGCAUUGGAGUCCAAAGCAGGAAAUUUGAAAGGGAAGGGAUGCCUUCGAUCCCUUACUCUAAACUGGGGGACAUCACCUAGAGCUGGUCAGGAUGAGCAUGAUGAAUUAUUGAUGCAAAACCUGCAGCCACACUCAAAUCUGAAGGAAUUACAUGUGGAAGGUUAUGGAGGUGUGACGUUCUCAACUUGGCUCUCCUCGCUUGGAAACAUUGUUAAAAUUACAAUAAAGAAGUGUAAUCGAUGCCAACAUCUGCCGCCUCUACAAGAACUCCGCCAUCUCAAGUUCCUCAGUCUUGAAGAGUUGAUGGAUCUUGAGUACAUCGACAAUAGCAGCAGGCAGCCCUCAUCAUCUGUAAUAUUCUUCCCAUCCUUAAAAGUACUUUCACUUGUUGAAUUGCCUAAUUUAAAGAGAUGGUGGAGGGAAGAAGCAGUCGUUGAGUCGAUGAACAAUAGUAAUAGAGCAUCGACAUCACUUGGCGAGCAUCAGGAGCAGCAACCUGUGGUACUACCUUCUUUUCCUUGUCUUUCUAGCUUAAAAAUUCACCAUUGCUUUAACUUGACGUCAAUCCCGCUGCAUCCAUACCUUGAAGAGCUGUAUCUAUAUGAAGUCAGUGAGGAACUUCUACAACAACAGGGAGUGAUGUUGCUCACCAUGAUGACAAUGAGGAUCACCAUGAUGAUGAUGAUGAUGGCAGCUUUACAGAGCCCCAGAGAAUCUUCCACCUCCCUUUCUUUACUUCCCCAUGAUUCCUUCACUGCUUCUCCUCUUUCUAAACUAAAGUCUCUGCAACUUGUGAGAAUUGAUGAUUUAGAAUCUUUGCCAGAGGCAUGGUUGCCAAACCUGACUUCUCUUGAGCAUGUAAAGAUUGAGGAGUGCCCUAAACUAUCAAGUUUACCGCGACAAGGUUUCAAGGCCUUGACUUCUCUCCGAAAUCUGAGGAUCUACAGGUGUGAAGGGUUAAAGUCUUUAUCUAAUGGGAUUCAACAUCUCACUGCUCUUGAGGAACUGAGGAUCAGGAGCUGUGAGGAGCUUGAUCUUUCAGAUGAUGGUAUGCAAUUGCAAGACCUUAAAAAGCUUCAUUAUCUGGAACUCAGUGAUAUCCCAAAAUUGGUUUUUCUUCCAAUCUGGAUUCAAGACACCCCUAGUCUACAAGAAUUGCAGGUUGAAGAAUGUAAAAAUUUGGUUGCUUUGCCAGAGUGGAUUGACAGCCUCACAUUGCUUCAAAGACUUAAAAUUUCCUAUUGCCCCAGAUUGACUUCAUUGCCAGAUAGGAUUCGCAAUCUUGCUGCUUUACAACAGCUUUGCAUUUGCAAUUGCCCUCACCUAUCUAGAAGAUGCCAGAAAGCCAGAGGUGCAGAUUGGCCCAAAAUUGCUCACAUUGCAAUGAUCAAAAUUAAUGGCAAGUGGGUCCAACGCCUAACAUGACAUCAUUCUGAUACAAGGAAUUCUCUGCUUGAAGGUUUCUCUUGACAUGCAAGGCCACUGUGCUCUGUUUGUAGACCUUAUGGGAUUGCUGGGUUGCUCAUUUUGCUUUUUGGAUGGAUGUUGCUUUUUUCAGUGGUUUUGUGCUGCCAUGUUGGUGGCUUUGCUAUGGUUGUUCUUAGGCUAAGUGUUCCAUGGGGUGUUCUCUCUGCUUGCCUUUUCUGUUCCUGCGUUUGUUUGCUGUUGCUUGUUGGUUGUACUGUUUUUGCAAGGGAUUCUUAUCGGCUCUUUGGCAUAGAAUUUAGGUGGGUGUAAGGGUUUGGCUUGCGGGUCUGGGUUAGCCUCACCUGGUUCUCCCUUGUUUUCUAUUUAAUAAAAUCUUGCUUUGCUUUGCUUAUAUUAAAAAAAAAAAAUGUAUGUAAGCUGGUCUGCUAGAAAAAGUGGAGUUUAUCUGGUCAG
rnacentral:misc_RNA from 1 species